CUAGAAGAAAUAAAAUUAAUACAUUCAAAAAAAAAAUCUAAUGGAUGAGAAACGUGCAUGCAUAUGUUGCGGAAAAUAUUAUAAUUGGUGAGGUAGUUAAGGGCACGCCGAUUUCGUUGAAUGUUUUGCUUAAAGUACGUUUACCCAAACCAUUUUUUCAUUUGAUUUUCGGGUUUCUACGUAGUUAUCAUACAUUUUAUGCUUUUGGCUUCAAACAUACAACUUUCCACAACCACCACACAAU
rnacentral:lncRNA from 1 species